CANUGGAGGAACUCUGAUGCAGCGACGCCGCGCUGAGUGAAGAAGUAAUUCNUUAUGUAAAGCUCUAUCAGCAGGGAAGAUAGUGACGGUACCUGACUAAGAAGCUCCGGCUAAAUACGUGCCAGCAGCCGCGGUAAUACGUAUGGAGCAAGCGUUAUCCGGAUUUACUGGGUGUAAAGGGAGUGUAGGUGGCAUCACAAGUCAGAAGUGAAAGCCCGGGGCUCAACCCCGGGACUGCUUUUGAAACUGUGGAGCUGGAGUGCAGGAGAGGCAAGUGGAAUUCCUAGUGUAGCGGUGAAAUGCGUAGAUAUUAGGAGGAACACCAGUGGCGAAGGCGGCUUGCUGGACUGUAACUGACACUGAGGCUCGAAAGCGUGGGGAGCAAACAGGAUUAGAUACCCUGGUAGUCCAAGGGCGAAUUC
rnacentral:rRNA from 1 species